GCUGGGUGUGGCGGCUCACGCCUGUAAUCCCAGCACUUUGGGAGGCCGAGGUGGGUGGAUCACCUGAGGUCAGGAGUUCGUGAUCAGCCUGGCCAACAUGGUGAAACCCCGUCUCUA
rnacentral:SRP_RNA from 1 species